AUUUGUUCAGUGGUGAAGGAGGCCGCGUUACAUGGAACAUUACCUCUAUCUGUUUCUGGCAGAUUGACUCCUCUGAAUUUUGAUCCCGUUUGGGGACAAUUGAUAUUGCCUCUGCUUUGACAUUUUGUCAGGGUGUGGUACUACUAUUCCAUCCAAAUAGCCAACUCUAGCCACAUCUUUGUGGCCUUUACAGCUACACUGUGUCAUCUGUUAGGCUUUCUGGAUCAUUUGCAAAGACCACAUAACAAUGGGCUAAUAGUCAAAGAAUUUAAUGGACAUUCCAUAUUCUCUGUCAUCUGCAGUAUUGUUGAGUGCUGGACUGGCAAUCUUAAAAAUCAACUAAGAAAAGUGUAUGCUUCUUUGUCCCUUACCUUUUCUUGGUCCACACACUUUAGUAAGGCAAUUUGGUCACUUACGGUGGCUGUUUCAAGAAGGAUUUAUUCCUCUUGGUCACUCCUGGUUUGUGAUCGGAACAGGAGUAGAGAGUUAUAUGGCGCUAUUUUGAAAACAAUGGGAUUCCAUCCUGGCCUUUUCUGGAUGUCAAGGUCAGGAAAAACAAAGAGAGACUGAAGAAUUCUUCCAGACUAAAGGAGAUUUAUGAUCUUGUGUUGGAUCCUUGAGUAGUACAAAUUCUUUUUUGCCUUUUGCUAUAAAAGAAAAUGUUAGGACAACUGAUGAAAAUUAAACGAUAGUUGUAGGAUGCAUGAGAUCUGGAUAUCAAUGUUACUUUUACAUAUUUUAAUAACUAUACUGUGGUUAUGAGAGAGCAUGUUCCUGAUUUUUUGAUGGAAAUACAUAUGUAUUUAUUAACUUUCCCACACAUUGUUCAUGGGGAAACAUAUAUUUACAUAUACACACAGCAUAAUAAAUACAUAUUGAAAAGC
ensembl:lncRNA